AGGGAAUCUUCCGCAAUGGACGAAAGUCUGACGGAGCAACGCCGCGUGAGUGAAGAAGGGUUUCGGCUCGUAAAGCUCUGUUAUGAGGGAAGAACACGUACCGUUCGAAUAGGGCGGUACCUUGACGGUACCUCAUCAGAAAGCCACGGCUAACUACGUGCCAGCAGCCGCGGUAAUACGUAGGUGGCAAGCGUUGUCCGGAAUUAUUGGGCGUAAAGCGCGCGCAGGCGGCCUCUUAAGUCUGAUGUGAAAUCUUGCGGCUCAACCGCAAGCGGCCAUUGGAAACUGGGGGGCUUGAGUACAGAAGAGGAGAGUGGAAUUCCACGUGUAGCGGUGAAAUGCGUAGAUAUGUGGAGGAACACCAGUGGCGAAGGCGACUCUCUGGUCUGUAACUGACGCUGAGGCGCGAAAGCGUGGGGAGCAAAC
rnacentral:rRNA from 1 species